rnacentral:rRNA from 1 species
GAGCCCGUGAAUCUGGGCGGCGGAAUUCAGAAUUGACGGGCGUGCUCUCGCGGGCGCGUCCGGCUGUUUGAUAUUUCCGUCGCCGCGUAGACGUCGCGACCUGUUCGAUGUCGGUCCUUGCUCGGAGGAACCGCGAACGAGUUCGCUGCGGGGUGCGUUUCGGCGUURCUUUCGCGGCGAAGUCGCGGACUUCUGGCCGACUUAUCGGACAGUAAGCGGAACGGUGUCCGGCGUCGCUGCCCCGUGUACGCGGCGCCGGGACCGGUCGGCGACGAUUUCUUCGGGCCUCUGUCCGACC